GCUACUUCUUUCCUUCGUUAUUUCUGUGAGGAAAAGCACAUUGUACAGAUGCGAGGCUUAGAUUAUGAAACAACAGAGCAAGAUGUCAUUAACUUUUUCAAGCCUUUAGGUAUUGAGCCAAAGAGUGUGAGUAUGAAGUAUGAUGGUAGUGGUCGUGUUGCGGGUGUCAGUGAAGUCGAAUUCGCUACACAUGCUGAUGCAGUCAUUGCUAUGAGGAAAAGAAAUGCUUUCAUAGGUCAUAGAUUCAUACGCUUAACUCUCAAAUCUUCUGAACCUGAGAAUAGAAAUGAAAACAGUGGCAUUUCCAGCAGUAGUCAAAUCUCAUCACAAUCUAAAGUUGACAUAAAUAUGCUCGGUUCUGCACCCAGUAGUCAUGUUGUUCAAAUGAAAAAUGCCCCCAAGAGAAUGACAGAUCAAGCAAUUUAUGAAUUCUUUUGGCCUGUUGGAAUACAGCCUGUCUCUGUCAAACCCAUCUAUAAUGAAAGCGGUAUCCGAACUGGGGAAUUUGACGUGGUGUUCCAGACACAUGAAGAUGCAGUUAGAGCUUUGGUUAAAAAUCAUGCUUAUCUAGGAAAAAAAUUUGUGGAAAUUUCUUUAAAAGUUCCAUAAUUUACCCAGAGACAGUCUUGGUGAAAUAUAAACAAAAGCUGAAUGAUCACAAUGAAGACAAUGCAUGAAGGCAAAUAAAGAAAAUGGAGACAUAAUUUCAUAAUUUACCUAGCUGAAGCAGUUUUUCUUCCAUUUCAAUUUUUGUUUCUCAUGUAAUAAAAUAAUUAAAUUCUAGAAAUAAGUAAUUUUAUUUGCGAAAUUUGCAUUAAAGAUUAUCAGAGUUUUUCGUAUAACUGUCAGAUUUAUUCAUUUGUGAAAAUUGAUUUGUUCAUUCAAAAUAUCAGACUUUUUUAUUCAUGAAAAACACAAAAUUAUGUGAAUAAAUAUUUUUCUGUAUGAUGUAAAAAAUAAAGCUGUAUAUUCAGCUUUUGGAAAAGU
rnacentral:misc_RNA from 1 species